rnacentral:lncRNA from 1 species
AGAACUACUCACGGCGCUCAGAGGAGAUUUCCUCCUCUCCCUCUUUCCAGGGUGGGUGGGAUGCUAGCGGCGGACCUUUCUGUUAUUGUUAACCAUUGAUGUAUUUCAAAUGGAGUGAGGAACAGUACAGACAGAGAAACUCUUAUCGUGGAUGAGAGUGAUGUCUGAGACAGAUGAAUGGACUGUUGAGAGGAGGAGUUUGUCUGUUUAUCUCGGUCUUCCCGUAAACAGGGUCUAGCUAUCCCUCAAGCCUUCCAAACCAUGUGGGUGGCUCUGGUGACUGGCACGCCGGACUGCUUCAUUCAUUUACCACAAGGG